rnacentral:rRNA from 1 species
GACGAACGCUGGCGGCGUGCUUAACACAUGCAAGUCGAACGGAAAGGCCCUGCUUUUGUUGGUUGCUCGGCUGACGAACGGGUGAGUAACACGUGAGUAACCCUCCCUUUCCUUUUGGCUUCAUUCAGCAAACUGGGACUACUACCGGAUAUGGGUGCCUCCUGCUUGGGGUUGGUUGGCAUGUUUCGGCGGUUGGGGAUGGACUCGCGGCUUGUCAGCUUGUUGGUGGGUUAGUGGCUUACCAAGGCUUUGGCGGGUAGCCGGCCUGGGAGGGUGACCGGCAACAUGGGGACGGAGUAACGCCCCAGACUCCAACGGGAGGCAGCAGGGGGGAAUAUGGAACAAUGGGCGGAAGCCGGAGGCAGCAAGGCGGCGGGGGGGAGAACGGCUUUCGGGUGGAAAACGGCUUUCGCCUGGGACGAAGCGGUAGUGACGGUAAUGGGUAAAGAAGCACCGGCUAACUACGUG